UAGAAAGUAGUAUAAUAGGUAAAACAGAGAAUUUUGAUUUCUCUUAUAUAAGUUCAACUCUUAUCUUCCUAA
rnacentral:tRNA from 1 species